UGACCGCCGGCCAGUGACAAGCCCCCCGUGGAAUGUUGGAGCGGUUCCGUUCUGCCGGGGACAGAGACGCCGCAGCCGCCGAGGGUUCCUCCUCUUGUGUCACGCGAGACCCGGGGGCGGGGAGGGGGGCGCAGGGACCGCCGCCGCCGCCGCCGGAGAGACGCUCCUCCGAGAGCCAGCCAGCCCCGCCGCCCGCCCGCCGGGUGCCUUCUCCUCCUCCUUGUUGCCAUUAAAACAAAUGAACCGAGCUGCUCUGCCCAGCGCCGCCAACUAAAUCGGUUUGGAUGAUUCGCGAUCUGAGCAAGAUGUACCCGCAAACCAGACACCCGGCACCGCAUCAGCCUGCUCAACCCUUUAAAUUUACAAUUUCCGAGUCCUGCGAUAGGAUUAAGGAAGAGUUUCAGUUUUUACAGGCUCAGUACCACAGUUUGAAACUGGAAUGUGAAAAACUGGCCAGUGAGAAAACCGAGAUGCAGCGGCAUUAUGUCAUGUACUAUGAAAUGUCCUACGGGUUGAAUAUAGAAAUGCAUAAGCAGGCAGAAAUUGUCAAGAGGCUGAAUGCUAUCUGUGCCCAAGUCAUCCCCUUCCUGUCCCAAGAGCACCAGCAACAAGUGGUGCAGGCUGUGGAACGUGCCAAGCAAGUGACCAUGGCAGAACUGAACGCAAUCAUUGGGCAACAACUCCAGGCCCAGCAUUUAUCACAUGGACAUGGUCUGCCGGUGCCUCUCACUCCACACCCAUCGGGUCUUCAACCACCUGCCAUCCCACCGAUUGGUAGCAGUGCUGGCCUCUUGGCGCUCUCCAGUGCCCUGGGCGGGCAGUCUCACCUUCCAAUUAAAGAUGAAAAGAAGCACCAUGACAACGAUCACCAAAGAGACAGAGACUCCAUCAAGAGUUCUUCUGUGUCCCCAUCUGCCAGUUUCAGGACUGCAGAGAAGCACAGAAACUCAACAGACUAUUCAUCAGACAGCAAAAAACAGAAAACUGAAGAAAAGGAAAUAACAACUCGUUAUGACAGUGACGGAGAGAAGAGCGACGACAACUUGGUAGUUGACGUUUCCAAUGAGGAUCCCUCUUCCCCUCGAGGGAGCCCAGCACAUUCUCCAAGAGAGAAUGGCCUGGACAAGACCCGUCUGCUCAAGAAAGAUGCCCCAAUUAGUCCAGCCUCUAUUGCAUCUUCCAGCAGUACUCCUUCCUCAAAAUCCAAAGAACUUAGCCUUAAUGAAAAGUCUACUACUCCUGUUUCAAAAUCCAACACUCCCACUCCACGAACUGAUGCUCCGACCCCAGGCAGUAAUUCCACUCCAGGAUUAAGGCCUGUGCCUGGAAAACCACCAGGUGUUGACCCAUUAGCUUCAGGCCUGAGAACCCCUAUGGCCGUCCCGUGUCCAUAUCCAGCUCCAUUUGGCAUUGUUCCACACGCUGGGAUGAACGGGGAGCUGACCAGUCCAGGAGCUGCAUAUGCUGGUCUGCAUAACAUCUCCCCUCAGAUGAGUGCGGCUGCAGCUGCUGCCGCUGCCGCCGCUGCCUAUGGAAGAUCUCCUGUGGUUGGUUUUGAUCCACACCAUCACAUGCGUGUACCAGCGAUCCCACCAAACCUGACCGGCAUCCCUGGAGGAAAACCAGCGUACUCCUUUCACGUUAGUGCAGAUGGUCAGAUGCAGCCCGUACCUUUUCCCCCCGAUGCCCUCAUUGGACCCGGAAUCCCUCGACAUGCUCGUCAGAUCAACACCCUUAAUCAUGGAGAAGUAGUGUGUGCAGUUACUAUCAGCAACCCCACGAGACAUGUGUACACUGGCGGGAAGGGAUGUGUCAAAGUCUGGGACAUCAGCCACCCAGGAAACAAGAGUCCAGUCUCUCAGCUGGACUGCCUGAACAGAGAUAACUACAUCCGUUCCUGCAGAUUGCUCCCUGACGGCCGCACCCUGAUUGUUGGAGGGGAAGCUAGUACAUUAUCCAUUUGGGACCUGGCAGCUCCGACCCCACGCAUCAAAGCUGAGCUGACAUCCUCAGCUCCCGCCUGCUACGCCCUGGCAAUCAGCCCCGAUUCCAAGGUCUGCUUCUCCUGCUGCAGCGACGGGAACAUCGCGGUGUGGGAUCUGCACAAUCAGACGUUGGUCAGGCAAUUCCAAGGCCACACAGACGGAGCCAGCUGUAUUGACAUUUCGAAUGAUGGCACCAAGCUCUGGACGGGAGGUUUGGACAAUACGGUCAGGUCCUGGGACCUGCGAGAAGGACGGCAGUUACAGCAACAUGACUUCACGUCUCAGAUCUUCUCUCUGGGAUAUUGUCCCACUGGAGAGUGGCUUGCAGUUGGGAUGGAGAACAGUAACGUAGAGGUGCUACACGUUACCAAACCAGACAAAUACCAGCUACAUCUACAUGAGAGCUGCGUGUUGUCCCUCAAGUUUGCUCACUGUGGAAAAUGGUUCGUAAGCACUGGAAAGGAUAAUCUACUCAAUGCAUGGAGAACCCCUUAUGGGGCCAGUAUAUUCCAGUCCAAAGAAUCCUCAUCGGUGCUUAGUUGUGACAUCUCUGUGGAUGAUAAGUAUAUUGUCACUGGCUCUGGGGACAAGAAGGCAACAGUCUAUGAAGUUAUUUAUUGAGGACAAAUCCUAAUGCAAACCGGACUCCUCCUUGUAGCACUUUGCUGUAUAAUCCUUUUUUUUUUCUUCCCAAGCCAAGGAUUUAAAACGUUCCUCACAGUUGUGGAGUUGAUUCCCUCCCCUCCCCUCCCCACGCCCCGCUCCUCCUUGCUGUUGAAUUGUGAAUGCUCAUUAAGAACCUGUGAUACCAAAUCUUGAAAUAUCUACUUGGAAGAACUCGGAACAAGCAUACUUAACAGUGAACUGAAUCUUUCGUUAUGUAUUAUAUCUGUAAUAUAUUUAUUUUGUUUAAAGAAGGCUUUCUAACAAUGAACUGAGUUCAUAAAGCUGUCCGCUCCCGCCUUGGUAAUAAAGAAAGAUGAACAGUAAAUUGGCCUCAAAGAGACAACUUAAUCCCUCCUGGAUAUUUUUGCCACAUUUCUUUGAAAAGGGGAGAUGGGCAUCUUUGGGCAAUUUUGUGGUUACAAGAGAUUAUGGAAAACAUUUCACAUGUUUUUUGGGAACUGCACGGGUGCACAGCUGUAGGAAAGGAAUUCCUACCACUGUGUAAGCCAAGCCUUUGAACAAAGAGAGGACAACAGAGGAGGGAGGAUUUGCAAGAAGCCCUCCUCCCGAAGAACAGGAAGAAUGGGCUCUCGCUCGAGAUGAGGACUUGCUCUAUUGGCCAUCGGUUCUUUCCAUGUCUUAGUUGGAUGUCCCUGGAAUAGACACAAGGCUGUUUUGUGCCAUCAUCCCGGAGACAUUGUGUUAUCUUUUUAUGUUGUUGUUGCUGUUGCUGUUAAACCAUGAUCUGUGACUCCUUUUUUAUUAUUAUUAAUUAUUAUUAUUAUUUGUUCGAAUGCUUUAUAAAUCUUUUAAGUCUGUGGAUCUGCUGAUGUACAGUGCCUUUGCUGCUAUGGAUCAAAAUCAAAAGAACCGUGUAGAUAAACUUUAUCGUAUAGGUAGAAAAUUACUUAAUUUCAUACUAGAAAUGGGUUGAUGCUGCAAAUUGAAAUGGACUAUUCAUUGAAGUUCCAAAUGUGGUAGCAGAAAAAAAAAUGGUGUCUUAAGUGCAUUGUGUUUGAUGUCAUUGACAGUUUCGUAAUACUCUACAGUGUAGAAAGAUUUUGAUACUAAACUGUGCAUUGUACAUAGUUCUAAUGCAUUGUAUUGACCACCAGUACUUCUAUAAUGGUAGAAUAUUGUUUGUGCAUUCAGACUUUUAAGCAUUAAACAUAAAUAACUUCUAGGA